AAGCCACGAACGCUGUUCGAUAGUAAUUCUUCAACGUCGACGUCCGGGUCCUGGAGAUAAUCGUCAUGAAGACUACCAUGCUUAUCCUGUUCGUUCUGGUCGCCUGGGGCGCUGUCUCCGAGGUGGAAGCCUUGCCUCAGCGUCCCUUAAAGCGUGCAUUCAGGACCGAUCUCAAAUACCUCGCUACUUCUGGUCGGCUCGGUAGGGAUAUCUGCGCCGAAAAACGCGGUAACCACGUGACAGAGUUCGAGUGCUGACGUGAGCUGGAUCUCGCUCUUCGAGGGUAUCACCGAUACGAGUGGUCCUUGUACUUUACGGCGAAAUAAAAACGUUGCACGGCAACUGCCGGAAGAAAA